GUUUUUUUUUCUCAAUGGGAAAGAUAAACAAUGACUUAUUAGCACUAACAAAUCAUUGUUAAAAUUAUCAUAAUUUUAAUAAUAUUUUACUUUUGUCACUAACUCCUGUUUGUAUAUAUUUUAUUUCUAAAUAUAAAAAGAAAGGUGCCUUAAAAAUAAGGGAGAGUUGAGUGUUCAUAUAUGAUCCUGAUUGAUGUCUGUGAGUUAGUCG
rnacentral:misc_RNA from 1 species